GACGGAGGAUGCAAGUGUUAUCCGGAAUCACUGGGCGUAAAGCGUCUGUAGGUGGUUUAAUAAGUCCACUGUUAAAAAUUGAGGCUUAACUUCAAAGAUGCCGUGGAAACUUUUAAACUUGAGUAUGAUAGGGGUAGAGGGAAUUUCCAGUGGAGCGGUGAAAUGCGUAGAUAUUGGAAAGACCACCAAUGGCGAAGGCACUCUACUGGGCCAUUACUGACACUGAGAGACGAAAGCUAGGGGAGCGAAUGGG
rnacentral:rRNA from 1 species